UACGUAGGGUGCGAGCGUUGUCCGGAAUUAUUGGGCGUAAAGGGCGCGUAGGCGGUGCGGUAAGUCUGUAGUGAAAUCUCUGGGCUCAACUCAGAGUCUGCUGCAGAAACUGCCGUGCUUGAGUGUGGGAGAGGUGAGUGGAAUUCCCGGUGUAGCGGUGAAAUGCGUAGAGAUCGGGAGGAACACCAGUGGCGAAGGCGGCCUUCUGGACCAGCACUGACACUCAAGCACGAAAGCGUGGGGAGCAAACAGG
rnacentral:rRNA from 1 species